rnacentral:rRNA from 1 species
UACGUAGGGUGCAAGCGUUGUCCGGAAUUAUUGGGCGUAAAGAGCUUGUAGGCGGUUUGUCGCGUCUGCUGUGAAAUUUCGGGGCUCAACCCCGAACUUGCAGUGGGUACGGGCAGACUAGAGUGUGGUAGGGGAGACUGGAAUUCCUGGUGUAGCGGUGAAAUGCGCUGAUAUCAGGAGGAACACCGAUGGCGAAGGCAGGUCUCUGGGCCACUACUGACGCUGAGAAGCGAAAGCAUGGGGAGCGAACAGG